UGGGGAAUUUUGGACAAUGGGCGAAAGCCUGAUCCAGCAAUGCCGCGUGUGUGAAGAAGGCCUUCGGGUUGUAAAGCACUUUUGUCCGGAAAGAAAUCCUUGGCUCUAAUACAGUCGGGGGAUGACGGUACCGGAAGAAUAAGCACCGGCUAACUACGUGCCAGCAGCCGCGGUAAUACGUAGGGUGCAAGCGUUAAUCGGAAUUACUGGGCGUAAAGCGUGCGCAGGCGGUUUGCUAAGACCGAUGUGAAAUCCCCGGGCUCAACCUGGGAACUGCAUUGGUGACUGGCAGGCUAGAGUAUGGCAGAGGGGGGUAGAAUUCCACGUGUAGCAGUGAAAUGCGUAGAGAUGUGGAGGAAUACCGAUGGCGAAGGCAGCCCCCUGGGAUGAUACUGACGCUCAUGCACGAAAGCGUGGGGAGCAAACAGGAUUAGAUACCCUGGUAGUCCACGCCCUAAACGAUGUCAACUAGCUGUUGGGGGUUUAUUAACCUUAGUAGCGCAGCUAACGCGUGAAGUUGACCGCCUGGGGGAGUACGGUCGCAAGAUU
rnacentral:rRNA from 1 species